GCCCGGUUAGCUCAGUCGGUAGAGCAUUCGACUUUUACAAAGUCUUCACACUCUUGGAUGUGAUCGAAUUGUCGGGGGUUCGAGCCCCCCAUUGGGCG
rfam:Melampsora larici-populina 98AG31 unplaced genomic scaffold MELLAscaffold_6, whole genome shotgun sequence.